GGUCGGUAGGUCGGAAAUUAAUUUUUUUUUGAAUAUUUUUUUCAUGGUUUUGGCGGUUUUUUGCUGGGCGAUUUGCAGUAGAGUCCCGACAUCAAUGUUAACUAGAGAUGCGUAUUUCCUAUGGACGAAUUUAGGCAAUUUGGUUCAAUAAUUAGUGUGACAACAGACGCCAUUUUGGCACGCUGUAUGAGCAGCCCGCAACCACCUGGAGAAAAUAGGGUCGCAC
rnacentral:lncRNA from 1 species